rnacentral:lncRNA from 1 species
AACCGGUUCAAAUAAGCAUCGUUAAUCACACUAGUGAUAGAGAAAUGUACUUCCUCCGGAAUGGCAACAUUCGCCCGUCGGCAAAGUCCCAUGAUCAGCCUCGGGUAUGCAAGCACACCUGCCUUACCACCAAAUUUUGUUCCGCUUAUAGCCAUCUUGCGCAUUUCCCCUGCUAUGAUUGAUGCUACAUCCACAGAUUUUCUG